UGCAGCUCCCCCACCACAGUAGACUAUCCAGUUCAGCGGUGAUUGGCGAGAUCCCUUCUCCGGACUUGCCUUGGUCUUGGUAUGCAAUUUUUGUUAUAGACAUUAUGGGUAUGUCGGGGCCCUGUUCCGGCUAUGUUGCAACACUUAUGUUCUUUUAGAGGCUCAUAGACAGGUGUCGGCUCAUGUAUAGUUUGGUAUGCCUUGUCGGCUAGUUUUUAUUGUAUAGUCUUUCAUAGUAGCGUGGUAGCUCAUACCUUAUACGUAGUUUCUUGAUUGUCUGGUCAUCCCCUGCUAUGUAUGUUUAUGCCGUCAUAUUUUAUUGCUGGUUGUCCAUGAUCUAGGUCUACCAUUUAUAUUGAUCUCGUCAGCCUUAAAAGAUAAUAAUGAAGUUAGAUGAAAUGUACGUUGGUGCUCGGCAAGUGUGGUCGGGUGCUAGUCAUGGCCCUUCAGUUUGGGUCAUGACAAACUUGGUAUCAGAGCAAGUCUGUCCUAGGGGUUGUCUAUGAGCCGUGUCUAGUAGAGUCUUGAUUAUGGAUGUGUAGCGCGCCACAUUUAUAAUCAGGAGGCUACAUGACAUCUAGGGUUGUUACCUUCUUCCUGAAUCUAGAUCGUGCGUAGAGUUGAGUCGUAAGUGUUAGUCUCUAAUAUUCACCUUGUUUUUUUUCAGUGACGCCUUCGACUAGGAAGCAAACGAUUAGUAGACGGCUUGAUACAGCAGCGGGAGAGGGUACCAGUCAGGUGCCCCAAGUCAGAGCAGGACAAAGUGAGGCUCAAAGUGAGAUGCCCUCUCAUACCUU
rnacentral:lncRNA from 1 species